AGUGAACGCUGGCGGUAGGCCUAACACAUGCAAGUCGAACGGCAGCACAGUAAGAGCUUGCUCUUACGGGUGGCGAGUGGCGGACGGGUGAGGAAUACAUCGGAAUCUACUUUUUCGUGGGGGAUAACGUAGGUAAACUUACGCUAAUACCGCAUACGACCUACGGGUGAAAGCAUGGGAUCUUCGGACCUUUCGCGAUUGAAUGAGCCGAUGUCGGAUUAGCUAGUUGGCGGGGUAAAGGCCCACCAAGGCGACGACCCGUAGCUGGUCUGAGAGGAUGAUCAGACACACUAGAACUGAGACACGGUCCAGACUCCUACGGGAGGCAGCAGUGGGGAAUAUUGGACAAUGGGCGCAAGCCUGAUCCAGCCAUACCGCGUGGGUGAAGAAGGCCUUCGGGUUGUAAAGCCCUUUUGUUGGGAAAGAAAAGCAGCAGGUUAAUACCCCGCUGUUCUGACGGUACCCAAAGAAUAAGCACCGGCUAACUUCGUG
rnacentral:rRNA from 1 species